rnacentral:rRNA from 1 species
GACGAACGCUGGCGGCGUGCUUAACACAUGCAAGUCGAACGGAAAGGCCCUGCUUGCAGGGUACUCGAGUGGCGAACGGGUGAGUAACACGUGGGUGAUCUGCCCUGCACUUCGGGAUAAGCCUGGGAAACUGGGUCUAAUACCGGAUAUGACCUUCCAUGUAGUGUGGGGGGUGGAAAGAUUUAUCGGUGUGGGAUGAGCCCGCGGCCUAUCAGCUUGUUGGUGGGGUAAUGGCCUACCAAGGCGUCGACGGGUAGCCGGCCUGAGAGGGUGGACGGCCACAUUGGGACUGAGAUACGGCCCGGACUCCUACGGGAGGCAGCAGUGGGGAAUAUUGCACAAUGGGCGGAAGCCUGAUGCAGCGACGCCGCGUGGGGGAUGACGGCCUUCGGGUUGUAAACCUCUUUCGACAGGGACGAAGCUUCGGUGACGGUACCUGUAUAAGAAGCACCGGCUAACUACGUG